CGGAUGAGGGCUGCGCCUUCAGAAGACGGCAGAGGAAAGUCCGGGCUUCACAGGGCAGGAUGCCGGUUAACGGCCGGCGGAGGCGACUCCCGGGACAGUGCAACAGAGAAGUACCGCUCAUACGCGGCCGAGAUCAUAUCAACGCAGCGUAAGCAAGGGUGAAAAGGUAGUGUAAGAGACUACCGGCUUCGCAGUAAUGUGAAGUGCUGUGUAAACCCCAUCCGAAGCAAGACCAAGACGAGGACCAUGGGCCGGCCCGGUCCGUUCUCAGGUAGGUCGCUCGAGGCCGUCGGUAACGGCGGUCCCAGAUAGAUGAUCGUCCAACGACAGAACCCGGCUUAUCGCUCUGCUUAU
rnacentral:RNase_P_RNA from 1 species